rnacentral:siRNA from 1 species
GGAAUUGCAUGUCUGUGGUGUUA